CGUAACGCGUAUGCAAUCUACCUUCAACUGGUGAAUAGCUCGAAGAAAUUCGAAUUAACACAUCAUAGUAUUAUUGAUUGGCAUCAAUUAAUAAUUAAAACUCCGGUGGUUGAAGAUGAGCAUGCGUGACAUUAGCUAGUUGGUGAGGUAAUGGCUCACCAAGGCUACGAUGUCUAGGGGAUCUGAGAGGAUUAACCCCCACACUGGUACUGAGACACGGACCAGACUCC
rnacentral:rRNA from 1 species